UACGAAGGGGGUUAGCGUUGCUCGGAAUCACUGGGCGUAAAGGGUGCGUAGGCGGGUCUUUAAGUCAGGGGGGAAAUCCUGGAGCUCAACUCCAGAACUGCCUUUGAUACUGAGGAUCUUGAGUUCGGGAGAGGUGAGUGGAACUGCGAGUGUAGAGGUGAAAUUCGUAGAUAUUCGCAAGAACACCAGUGGCGAAGGCGGCUCACUGGCCCGAUACUGACGCUGAGGCACGAAAGCGUGGGGAGCAAACAGG
rnacentral:rRNA from 1 species